rnacentral:rRNA from 1 species
AGUCGAGCGGCAGCACAGAGGAACUUGUUCCUUGGGUGGCGAGCGGCGGACGGGUGAGUAAUGCCUAGGAAAUUGCCCUGAUGUGGGGGAUAACCAUUGGAAACGAUGGCUAAUACCGCAUGAUGCCUACGGGCCAAAGAGGGGGACCUUCGGGCCUCUCGCGUCAGGAUAUGCCUAGGUGGGAUUAGCUAGUUGGUGAGGUAAUGGCUCACCAAGGCGACGAUCCCUAGCUGGUCUGAGAGGAUGAUCAGCCACACUGGAACUGAGACACGGUCCAGACUCCUACGGGAGGCAGCAGUGGGGAAUGUUGCACAAUGGGCGCAAGCCUGAUGCAGCCAUGCCGCGUGUAUGAAGAAGGCCUUCGGGUUGUAAAGUACUUUCAGUCGUGAGGAAGGUGGUGUUGUUAAUAGCAGCAUCAUUUGACGUUAGCGACAGAAGAAGCACCGGCUAACUCCGUGCCAGCAGCCGCGGUAAUACGGAGGGUGCGAGCGUUAAUCGGAAUUACUGGGCGUAAAGCGCAUGCAGGUGGUGGAUUAAGUCAGAUGUGAAAGCCCGGGGCUCAACCUCGGAACCGCAUUUGAAACUGGUUCACUAGAGUACUGUAGAGGGGGGUAGAAUUUCCUGUGUAACGGUGAAAUGCGUAG